rnacentral:rRNA from 1 species
GACGAACGCUGGCGGCGUGCUUAACACAUGCAAGUCGAACGAUGAAGCCGGAGCUUGCUCUGGUGAAUUAGUGGCGAACGGGUGAGUAACACGUGAGUAACCUGCCCUUGACUCUGGGAUAACUGCUAGAAAUGGUAGCUAAUACCGGAUACGACCCUCGGCGGCAUCGCCAGGGGGUGGAAAGAAUUUCGGUCAAGGAUGGACUCGCGGCCUAUCAGCUAGUUGGUGAGGUAACGGCUCACCAAGGCGACGACGGGUAGCCGGCCUGAGAGGGUGACCGGCGACACUGGGACUGAGACACGGCCCAGACUCCUACGGGAGGCAGGAGUGGGGAAUAUUGCCCAAUGGGCGCAAGCCUGAUGCAGCAACGCCGCGGGAGGGAUGACGGCCUUCGGGUUGUAAACCUCUUUUAGUAGGGAAGAAGCGAAAGUGACGGUACCUGCAGAAAAAGCACCGGCUAACUACGUGCCAGCCGCCGCCGUAA